ensembl:rRNA 5S_rRNA 5S ribosomal RNA
GCUUACGGCCACACAGCCUGGUUCACGCACGAUCUCGUUUGAUCUCGGAAGCUAAGAUAGGUUGGGCCUGGUUAGUACUUGGAUGGGAGACCGCCUAGGAAUACCAGGUGCUGUAAGCC